UACAGAGGUCCCAAGCGUUGUUCGGAUUCACUGGGCGUAAAGGGUGCGUAGGUGGUCGGGUAAGUCUGAUGUGAAAUCUCCGAGCUUAACUCGGAAACUGCAUCGGAUACUAUUCGGCUCGAGGAAUGGAGGGGAGACUGGAAUACUUGGUGUAGCAGUGAAAUGCGUAGAUAUCAAGUGGAACACCAGUGGCGAAGGCGAGUCUCUGGACAUUUCCUGACGCUGAGGCACGAAAGCCAGGGGAGCAAACGGG
rnacentral:rRNA from 1 species